AAGUCGUAACAAGGUUUCCGUAGGUGAACCUGCGGAAGGAUCAUUAAUGAAAUGAGGACUUGCUCCUCAACUUCUUUGGCUGUGCGCUCUUGCGAGCUGCACGCCAAUGAUUCUCACACCCCUGUGCACAUAUCGGGGUGCGUUUGCUCGCACCUCGCCAUUUCACACAAACCACUAAAGUCAUUGAAUGUAACAAAACCAAUAACAAUACAACUUUCAACAACGGAUCUCUUGGCUCUC
rnacentral:misc_RNA from 1 species